GACGAACGCUGGCGGCGUGCUUAACACAUGCAAGUCGAACGGAAAGGCCCUGCUUGCAGGGUACUCGAGUGGCGAACGGGUGAGUAACACGUGGGUGAUCUGCCCUGCACUUCGGGAUAAGCCUGGGAAACUGGGUCUAAUACCGGAUAGGAGCCAUUUUUAGUGUGAUGGUUGGAAAGUUUUUUCGGUGUAGGAUGAGCUCGCGGCCUAUCAGCUUGUUGGUGGGGUAAUGGCCUACCAAGGCGGCGACGGGUAGCCGGCCUGAGAGGGUGGACGGCCACAUUGGGACUGAGAUACGGCCCAGACUCCUACGGGAGGCAGCAGUGGGGAAUAUUGCACAAUGGGCGCAAGCCUGAUGCAGCGACGCCGCGUGGGGGAUGACGGCCUUCGGGUUGUAAACUCCUUUCGCUAGGGACGAAGCUUUUUGUGACGGUACCGAGAUAAGAAACACCGGCUAACUACGU
rnacentral:rRNA from 1 species